UACGUAGGGUGCAAGCGUUAUCCGGAAUUAUUGGGCGUAAAGAGCUCGUAGGCGGUUUGUCGCGUCUGCUGUGAAAACUGGAGGCUCAACCUCCAGCCUGCAGUGGGUACGGGCAGACUAGAGUGCGGUAGGGGAGAUCGGAAUUCCUGGUGUAGCGGUGAAAUGCGCAGAUAUCAGGAGGAACACCGGUGGCGAAGGCGGAUCUCUGGGCCGUAACUGACGCUGAGGAGCGAAAGCAUGGGGAGCGAACAGG
rnacentral:rRNA from 1 species